UGGGGAAUAUUGCACAAUGGGCGAAAGCCUGAUGCAGCGACGCCGCGUGAGGGAUGACGGCCUUCGGGUUGUAAACCUCUUUCAGCAGGGACGAAGCGCAAGUGACGGUACCUGCAGAAGAAGCACCGGCUAACUACGUGCCAGCAGCCGCGGUAAUACGUAGGGUGCAAGCGUUGUCCGGAAUUACUGGGCGUAAAGAGUUCGUAGGCGGUUUGUCGCGUCGUUUGUGAAAACCAGGAGCUCAACUGCUGGCUUGCAGGCGAUACGGGCAGACUUGAGUACUGCAGGGGAGACUGGAAUUCCUGGUGUAGCGGUGAAAUGCGCAGAUAUCAGGAGGAACACCGGUGGCGAAGGCGGGUCUCUGGGCAGUAACUGACGCUGAGGAACGAAAGCGUGGGUAGCGAACAGG
rnacentral:rRNA from 2 species